CUGCUGCCUUCCGUAGAAGUUUGGUCCGUGUCUCAGUACCAAUGUGGGGGGUUGACCUCUCAGUCCCCCUAUGUAUCGUCGCCUUGGUGAGCCGUUACCUCACCAACUAGCUGAUACAACGCAUGUCCAUCUCUGACCACCUGAGUUUUCAACCACCGAAGAUGCCUCCGGUGAUGUUAUGGGGUAUUAGUACCAAUUUCUCGAUGUUAUCCCCCUGUCAAAGGUAGGUUACAUACGCGUUACGCACCCGUCCGCCGGUCGCCGG
rnacentral:rRNA from 1 species